GAGCAGAUUCUUACUAAACUUGUGCAAAUAACUUUAUUACCAUAAACAUAUGAAUAUUCAUGAAUAGAUUCCCAAUUCUGGGGCACUCAGAGAGCAAAAGCAAAUGUUUCAAUUUUUGUUUACAAAAGUAUACUUUACCAAUUGCUGAAGAAAAAAAUUCAUAAAUCUGGAGGAUAAAACAUUCAAAAAAUCAGCACAUUUUCCAAUAAAAAAUUAUGAAAACAUUAUCCUUUUGUUAUUUAGUCCAAUGAAAUGGAGUUCUUUUCUUCUUUGUCUUGAAUUUCAUGAAGGUAUCAGCCUGUUCAUUAAAAUUUUGAAAGUUCUUAGUCCAGUGGUAUGAUCUUGAAGUUAUCAGGAACUUGUAUUCAAGAGUCCUUGUCAGAGUCUUUUCCAUAAAUCUCCUUGAAGAAAAAGCAAUUUUGGACUGUAGGUGAUUGUAAGUAGUUUGAGGAAGAAUCAAAGCAACUGUCUGGGAAAGACAAAGAUUUAAACUGACUAUGGUUAAAAAUCUAAUGAGAAUUUAUUAUGGUAAAGACACAGCUCACAUAGAAAUCCAGUUACUUCUGUGGCAUAUGACACUAUGGUAACAUAUUUGAUUUCCAGAAAUUUCAUAUAAUUUUUAGAAUACUCAUUUAAAAAAAUUUUUUUUUUUGAAAUGGAGUCUCACUCUGUCACCCAGGCUGGAGUGCAGUGAUGCGAUCUCAGUUCACUGCAAGCUCUGCCUCCCGGGUUCAUGCCAUUCUCCUGCCUCAGCCUCCUGAGUAACUGGGACUACAGGUGCCUGCCACCACGCCCGGCAAAUUUUGUUUUUGCAUUUUUAGUAGAGACGGGGUUUCACCGUGUUAGCCAGGAUGGUCUCGAUCUCCUGACAUCGUGAUGUGCCCACCUCGGCCUCCCAAACUGCUGGGAUUGCAGGCGUGAGCCAUCGCGCCCAGCGUAGAAUACUCAUAUUAUUAACAUUCCCAUAAAUAUUAUUUAGAGAAGGUUUAGCCUCACUUAUCCUUUAUUUGAAAAUGUUUUCUACACAAUUUAAUAUAUCAAAUAAGGUGGCUUUUCCAUUCAGCUUCUGUUUCUCAAGAGGAUUACUGAGUUCUUGGUGUAGCCCAUUCAUAAAUAGGGCCAAAAAUGUAUAGUCUUAUGUAUGUUGAAAAAGGUCCUUAGGUAAUUCCAGUACUUCUAGCUGAAAAUCAUUCAUUUAGUUUUAAGUUCUACCUAUUACAACAAGAGUUCUCCAUCCUUGUUACAUGUUAGUAGUGUCAGGGAAGACUUAAAAAUUACCAAUGCCUUGGUCCCUCUCCAGACCUUUAAACUGGAACUAAUGGGUGGGGCUUGAGCAUCCACUUUUAAAAAUGCUUUCCAGUGAUUCCAAUGUGUAGCUCUAUUUCCCAUCAGAUUUCUCUGAUUUCUUGUGGCAUUCAAUUUUUUCUAUUUUGGUAUCAUGAUUAUUUUCAGGUCUCAUUUCCUGUCUUAGGCUUUAUGUCUCCUGGGGUAGGGACCUUGCCUUCUUCAUUUCUGUAUGUUUUUUGAACACAUGAACUGGUCAUCAGGAAAAGAUCUCAACCACACAUAGGUUGUGUUCUGAGUCUCAGGUUCACAUGUUAAUCCUAAAGUCUCCGUUCUCCAUGAGGUCAGAUGUUGCCUGUGAUGAAGGGUGUCGUUAAGUCUGCAGUGCAGAUGGUGGAGGGGAUUUCACUCUGUUUUUAGACAUAGCAUUGGAACUAAGAAUUUUAUGUCUAUAUGGGUGAAGGGGCAGGGAUGUGUAGGAAGACAGUUCUAAUUAGGAUGAAGGAAUUAUACUAGGAAGUAGAGGUAAAGGAAGUGAGAAGGCUUACUAAAUAGAAGAAAUGUGAACUUAUCAAAUAGGCUAGAGUAGACCCCUGCAGAUUCUUGAUUAAGUGAAUUAACUAGAUUUUAGAAAGGUAAUGAGGCAGUCAUAUGCAAGGAAGGUUUCAAAGUCUGGCCACAAGAAGUCAAGCAAUACUUUGAGAAGUGGUUGAGCUUUAUGGGAGUGUAGAGAAUUACACUAUUGAGAGAUGUUAAAAAUAAUGAAGAGGGUUUCACCAUGUGAAAUUGUGUUUCUCAUUUGAAUCUGAGAAACAAAUGAGCAGAGGCUGGAGAUAAUUAUGUCUAAAAGACAGUGGGGUACAGGGAGCAUAAAGGCCAGGGAGAAAGGGAACUGCAGGAAUUAGUUCUGAGAAGCAGGAGUUUAGUGGAGGAAGGAGGAGAUGCAGUCCCAGAUACAAGCAAAUAAGUCUUUUCCCUCUCCCAAGCAUGGCAGUCAGCCCUGCAGGAACCAGGAUAAGAGAAAAGGCCAUCAUACCUGCCAGUCUUCCUGAAAUACAGAAAUGACUUCACGGCUGCUAUAUUGGAUUAAGGAGAGGAAGACGUCCUAUUCCUGAAGGAGCUGUCAUGGAAAGAAAAGUAAAGAAGGAAUGAAGGUGAUGUUAUUUUACAUGGGGGAGCCUCAGGAAGAGGCAUGUAGCAUGAGGUACUCUAUAAUUGUUUCUUCAAGUACUACAUUAUUCCUCUUGGGAAAUUGAUGGGAGAUGAUUAUAUUCUUGCAGUUUUUUUUUUCCCUCUCACCAUGUUUCUAGGAUGGUGAUCAGUCCUCUGUCAAAUCUCUACUGCACUCAGAUAUUUUGGAAGGCUUUCAGACAUAAGAAAGGCUGAUUGCUAUUUUCUAUGUCAUUAGAACUUACCACCUUUUCACCUUUUCAUGGUUGCAUCUUUUUCUCAGUCUCUCUGUUGUGGCAGCCAUGAAUGAGACUCUGUCAGGUCUCCAUGGCAGGGAGCUGAUUGACAGAAGGCCCACGUCCGUGCAUUUCACAUUCAUCACCUCCUUUGCACAGAAAGCUUCUUUCCCACAGGCUCCCAGGAAGGGCGUGAAAGCAAGCCUAGUUCUCUGAGGCUCUCUUUAACUCUAAAGGGUGACUGGUUGGAGGACUCCCCCUCAGCCUUGCAAAAACUCUUAGAACUGCAUUGGUACCUAAAACUUCUUUCUCUUUCUUUUUCACAGGAAUCAGCUCUGCAUAGUGGUCUGUGGGUUCUCCCAUACUGCCUUCAUGUCUGCCCCACAUUCCCUCACAGGUGUCCUCCCUGAUAAAUUAUCUUGUAUGUCUAAUCCCAUCUUGGGUGCAUCUCAGUUGGUAAAAACUAACAUAUCAGGCUUGAUUCUUUGCACUUAGCUUUUUUUCCUUCUCUCCCACAAGUAGUCAGUAACCAUGUCCUAGUGUUUUAUGUGUUACCUCUUUUUCCAUAUAUAUGGAAAAAGGUAGGUACUGUUGAGGGGCAUUUCCUAUGUGCCAGGCCCUGUGCUAAAUACUUUACCUGUAUCUCAUUUAAUCCACACAAUAACCCUGUCAGGUAGAAAUUAUUUCCACUUUGCUGAUGAAAAGACAGAAGCUUAUCAUGGUGUAAAAACUUUCCUGGUGUCAUAUGGCUAGUGACAGGUGGAUCUGAAAUUUGAUUCUAGGACUAUUUGACCUCAAGGCUAAUGAUGAUGGUAGUAAUAUAGCAGCUGACAUUGGCUCCUCUGUGUGGCAUCUUGUUUCAUUGAUUGCAUUAAACAUUUAAAAGAAUGGUAUGAAGAAAGCACUCUCAUUGCAAUUUUCAGGUGAGGAAUCAGAGGUUCAGAGAAGUUGAGUCUUGUGCAAGAAAUUUAUAACUGUAAACUCUUACAUUAAAAAAGAAGAAAGAUCUCAGGUCAACAACCUACUUUAAUACUUCAGGAUAUGAAAGAAGAACAAACUAAACCCAAGCACAGUGAAUGAGGGAAAUAAUA
rnacentral:lncRNA from 1 species